UGUCGGUCUUCUACUAGGACCCACUGGGCCAUCCAAGGACUCGCCACUUGGGCUCCAGUCCCCAGCUUCGGCCUGGCUGCCGCCCUGGAGAGAGCACCUGUGGAUCAGGUGGACGCAGAGCGGGUGCCCCAGGGAGGCCAAGUGGGCUGGGCUUCAUCUGGGACUUUUGCUGCCCUCCCCUCUGCGCUCCUGCCUUCGUUCCACAAACCCUGGAACGAGACUGCUUUGGUGCCUGUGCUCAUGGUUUGUCCGGCCUCAGGGAAGCGCUCAGGGAGCUGGGCAGGCAGAGGCCUUCCUGCCACCCCCUCACCUGUAUCCCACUCGCCGGAAGUCCUGCUCUGGAGUCUGGCCAGAUGAGCUUCCCUUCUCGGGUGAUGGGGCAUGGGACAGGAGUGAGCGUGGCAGCCCCUGGCUGCCCUGGACACUCAGGGUGCAGAGGCUGGAGUGGCAGAGCACUGGGCUCAGGUGUGAGGGGCCUCCUCACUCUCGAGGGUCAUGACUGGGGCAUGAACAGGUGCUGGUGACAAGGUGUCAUGGUGCAGCUCCAACUCCCUCCUCCCCGUGUGUCCCUUCUGCUCCUAGGUGCUUUCAGAAACCCUCUGACUUGCAGCCGAACCCCCUGGCUGGCUGCUUGGCCAGAAGCAUGGGGCUCUCUCAGACACCCUGAGAAGGGCUGACCUGCAGGUGGAGGGCAGGCUGGGCCCCUGUGGGUGGGAGAGCCAGGGCCCUGGGUCCCCACGUCCCCUGUCCUGUGUGGCCCUGGGUACUCGAGUGCAGGCCUCCUCACUGACCCACGCUCUGUCUGCUCUCUCUGUGUCUCUCUGACCUCCAGGGCCUCUUUCUGCCAAGAACUGGAGCCUCCGCAGGCCCCUCCUUUUCCUGGGCCCCAGGCCUGCAGCCUCUGUGGUUCUGCUCCACGGCCCCACUGCCCUGCACUUGCCUCUCUCCUGGGCCCCUGGGUCCCUCCAGUUCUCUUGCUGCCCGUUCUCUCCUUUUACAGGUUGUGUUUAUUGGUUUAUCUCUGGGGGUUGGUGCCCUCUCUUGUUUCCAUGGAAACUGCUGUGGUCCCCAGAAAACCAGAGCAGCUUCGAGCAGCAAGGGCAGGACCCUGUGGGCCAUCCCUGCCAUCAGCUUAGAGACCGAGGACAGAAUUUCAGGGCUCGCUUUAUUAGAGACAACCUGCAGUCCUUCUGGAACAGGAUCAACACCCGUGCCCCCUGGAGGCUAACUCAGCUGGAAAAGGGGGAAGCAGAAGACCCCGGGAAGCACCGAGGGGGAAUGCUUGUCAUGGGGGGACGUGGGUCACUGAGGAAAGAAAUUCAGUGGAGUGCUCCCUGUUGAAGUUCAGGAAACUACGUCUUAAAAGAUGUCCCUCCAGGACGUGGGGGAUGAACGUGGUGCGCGGAAGCCAUGGGCUUCGCAUGCAGCUUCGCUGUGCGAUGCAGGAGUCACAGGCCCCAGGCUGGUAUGGUGAGAGGCGCUGGGCAUGUGGGCACCCGCCAUGUGCCUGGGUGCAGAGGCCUGGGCACAGAGGGAACAUCACACCUCACGCAUGAUUCUUAUACUGAUCCCAUGUUGAAGUGAUAAUAUGUUGGAUAUUUGGGGUUAAUUAAAACAGAUUAUUUAAAUUAAUUUC
rnacentral:lncRNA from 1 species